rnacentral:rRNA from 1 species
CCUACGGGAGGCAGCAGUGAGGAAUAUUGGUCAAUGGACGCAAGUCUGAACCAGCCAUGCCGCGUGCAGGAAGACGGCUCUAUGAGUGGUAAACUGCUUUUUUACGAGGGUAAACGCAGAUACGCGUAUCUGUCUGAAAGUAUCGUACGAAUAAGGAUCGGCUAACUCCGUGCCAGCAGCCGCGGUAAUACGGAGGAUUCAAGCGUUAUCCGGAUUUAUUGGGUUUAAAGGGUGCGUAGGCGGUCGGAUAAGUUAGAGGUGAAAUCCCGAGGCUCAACCUCGGAAUUGCCUCUGAUACUGUUCGGCUAGAGAGUAGUUGAGGUAGGCGGAAUGUAUGGUGUAGCGGUGAAAUGCUUAGAGAUCAGGCAGAACACCGAUUGCGAAGGCAGCUUACCAAGCUACUUCUGACGUUGAGGCACGAAAGCGUGGGGAGCAAACAGGAUUAGAUACCCGUGUAGUC